rnacentral:lncRNA from 1 species
CAAAUUUCAUCCGGGCUGACAGAAUGGCACAGACAUGAGUUUCGUCGGAAUGUUGGUAGUCGACUGGACUUAUAAUGGGCUGACUUUUUUUGGACGAAUAUACGCCUCGGAUCAACUCCAAAAAAAUGUAAAAUUAUUCAGACAGAAACACCGUGAGGCGAAUUCGCGAGAGCGGGUACCGGCAAUAAAAGAUAACCCUCCCGUCUCAUCUCAGCGUAGUCUUUAAACGUACGACACUUCCUUGCGAAUAUUUCAUAUCGCGGGGAUGAAGGUUUACGACCCUACAACCUCCUCGUCUACAGAUAUACAGCAACCGGGGCGCGAGGAUCUUCCAGCAGCUUUGCCAAAACUGGUAGCUUCUGCAGGUAGGGGUCAUUCGGCGCUAUGAAAGCUUCGAGAAAUCCUAAUGUAAAUUCGGCUUUGACCGCGUCUAUGCAAAUGACAAAUGUCGUUACGAUCCCGUAAUGCUUUCGAAUGUACGUGACACGUACGACACGAGCCACAGGCUUGAAGAGAUCAGCUAGCCAAUCCUUCGUCGUUCUGUGAGAUGCAUGCGCCCUUCAAAAAGCUUCUGACCCUUGCAAUUUAUAGGAAUAAUCUCGCGCCCCUCACUCUCUGCUCCGACAUCUUUCUCUGAUGACGUGCUUUACCUCGAUUGAAGUUACUAAUUAAUUUCUAGUUUUUCAACAACUGAUCUCGUGUGCUCUCAAUAUCAUGAGGGUAUUGUGAUCUUGUGAUGUAACUUGACAUUCCACGCUCACGGUCAGCUUAGUUCGUGAAUAUAUUUUAGAGGCUUGUAUUACAUUGAAUUUCGACAAAGAAUGAGUGUUUGCUGGAAAAAUUUACGUAGAUGUUCGUAAAGGGGAUAGAAAUGAGAGUUUUAUUUUAUGGUUAUAUUCAAGAGGGAGCGACAGGGAUGAAUGACAAGGACGAGAUGUGCUAGAAGCUCCGAGGUCUCGCUUAUCGAAAAAAAAAGUUUUUUAGUUUUUUUUUUAUCCCCGGAUGAUUCGAAUUUUAUUAAAAAUUGCGUUUUCUUUUAGAUAAUUAUAGCAUAAGUACGGUAACUAAUUGAAAAAUGGGUUGAAAUCGCAUACCAGUUGCUGCUUUAGUCGAGAGUCCCAUGCGUCUCACCAUACGUGCGAACACUUCGGUGACUUUUUUAACGCUUUUUUUCUGUUAAACGGAGCGAAAACGCAACGACGUCGUCCACUUGUCUCGUUCCUUCAUUUGUCUAAUUGCUCAUACGUAUUUGCAAAAGUGUGACGAGAGAGUGCGGCAAACCUGAAAGUCGAGACGCGUGUCCGCUUUGUGCAACUGUUUCGCUCUUUCUCUUUCGUAUUUUUCCCUCGGCCAAAUCUUUUUCAUUUCACCCUUUCAUCCUACUGCAUCAUAACACUCCGGGAGACCGUUUUAAAAGGACUUAUAAUCACCCGAAUAUUAAAUCUGCUUCAUUAUGCAUGGGAGAAAAAGAAACGGAAAUACGACGAAUAGUUGCGGCAGCUCGCGCUAUUCGACUCCGCAUGUAGUCUUGCAGACACUUUUACUAUUGUGUAGCCACAGCUUUCGAAUGUGCUACGUCGAUUUUUAUUCUCAGCUUCAAACCACAAUGACGAUGUCAACAUUUUAUCAAAAUUCUUCUAACUUCUCGACGAUUUACGAAAGCAAAAAGGCUUUUAAGGAAAAAAAGCAUAAGAAAGUUUCUUCUGAUGAACACACGAAUGUUGUAAAAAUUGAACGAAUCGACCGACCGUGAUUCCAAGUACACGGAGCGAAAAAAAAUUGUAAAAAUUACUAAGACACCAUAGUGUAUUAGGCUUCUAUAUCACCCAUUUUGAAGUUUUUACCAAAAACAUUGUAAUUUCCAAGUAAAUUUGGAAUAAAAACUUUUAAAUCGCGUAUUUUGCUCUGAAAAAGGUUUAAACUGUUUCCCCUCCGUACUUCACCGAGGAAACAUUAUAAAAUUUAUGUUGACUCGAUGAUGAACUUUCGAGGAGCUCGAACACCGAUGAUCCGCCAAGGUGUUUACAAAUUUACUAUCGUACAUAGCAGAAUUUCAUUAAUUCGCGUCUAUUCACGUUCGAGGUCUAAGAUAGAUCCGAUAAAAGAGAGGAACGUCACAAUUGAUUGUUUAAUACGAGUAUGUCUACCGACCAAAGCACCGGGGAUACUGGCUACUGAUAUCGUGGUGGAUUCGAGUCAGCCUCACCUCUUGGCUCGCGUGGCCCCUCACGACCUUUAUUUUAGCCGCUCCUCUACCGGUAUAUAUCAUUGUAUAGCGCACGCAGACACAUACAUUUUGAUAGAUCGAGCAAACCGAGGAUGCACGCAUAAAAAGAGCGGGAACGAGAGGGAACGCGAGGAGCUCAACGAAUCCGACGAAACUGAAGGCGGACACGGGAGCGUCCUUCCGGUUCUGUAGUUCCAGCACCGGAUACCACUAUCCGUGUAUUCUGCACAGCUGAUUACAGCGAUUAAUCAACCUGAUUAAGUUUAGGAAAAACAAAAUACACUCUCACCAAAAACCAACAAUUUUUUCGUCCAUUUUUUGCAGACUCGUAGAACAAAAGAACGAAUUCAACAACAUGUAAAAAUCAUCAACUUUUUUUUAUCGGAACGAUAAAAUAAAAGGAACACUCCCCAAGAAAGUAAUCGGCUCGAAUCAAUGUUAGUAAUCAAUAUAAAUAAUACAGAGAAAAUUACCUGAAAUG